rnacentral:rRNA from 1 species
UACGUAGGGUGCGAGCGUUAAUCGGAAUUACUGGGCGUAAAGCGUGCGCAGGCGGUCUGUUAAGACAGAUGUGAAAUCCCCGGGCUUAACCUGGGAACUGCAUUUGUGACUGCAUGGCUAGAGUUUGGCAGAGGGGGUAGAAUUCCACGUGUAGCAGUGAAAUGCGUAGAUAUGUGGAGGAACACCGAUGGCGAAGGCAGCCCCCUGGGUCAAGACUGACGCUCAUGCACGAAAGCGUGGGGAGCAAACAGG